GGGCGUGUGGUCUAGUGGUAUGACGUCUGCUUCGCACCUGCGAUGUCAACUAAACAGUUGAACCAGCAGAAGGUCCCGGGUUCAAAUCCCGACUCGUCCA
rnacentral:tRNA from 1 species